rnacentral:rRNA from 1 species
AAWUGGGCGCAAGSCUKAAKGCAGCGACSGCSGSKKGAGGGAUGACGGCCUUCGGGUUGKUAAACCUYUUUCAGUAGGRAAGCAGCCCUUUAGGUGACGGUACCUGCAGAAGAAAGCGCCGGCUAACUACGUGCCAGCAGCCGCGKUAAUACGUAGGGCGCAARCGUUAUCCGGAAUUAUUGGGCGUAAAGAGCUCGUAGGGCGGUUUGUCGCGUCUGCUGUGAAAGMCCGGGGCUUAACUCCGGGUGUGCAGUGGGUACGGGCAGGCUAGAGUGCAGUAGGGGAGACUGGAAUUUCCUGGUGUAGCGGUGGAAUGCGCAGAUAUCAGGAGGAACACCGAUGGCGAAGGCAGGUCUCUGGGCUGUUACUGACGCUGAGGAGCGAAAGCAUGGGGAGCAAACAGGAUUAGAUACCCUGGUAGUCCAUGCCGUAAACGUUGGGCACUAGGUGUGGGGGACAUUCCACGUUUUCCGCGCCGUAGCUAACGCAUUAAGUGCCCCGCCUGGGGAGUACGGCCGCAAGGCUAAAACUCAAAGGAAUUGACGGGGGCCCGCACAAGCGGCGGAGCAUGCGGAUUAAUUCGAUGCAACGCGAAGAACCUUACCAAGGCUUGACAUGGACCGGAUCGGCGCAGAGAUGUGUUUUCCUUUCGGGGCUGGUUCACAGGUGGUGCAUGGUUGUCGUCAGCUCGUGUCGUGAGAUGUUGGGUUAAGUCCCGCAACGAGCGCAACCCUCGUUCUAUGUUGCCAGCACGUUAUGGUGGGGACUCAUGGGAGACUGCCGGGGUCAACUCGGAGGAAGGUGGGGAUGACGUCAAAUCAUCAUGCCCCUUAUGUCUUGGGCUUCACGCAUGCUACAAUGGCCGGUACAAUGGGUUGCGAUACUGUGAGGUGGAGCUAAUCCCAAAAAGCCGGUCUCAGUUCGGAUUGGGGUCUGCAACUCGACCCCAUGAAGUCGGAGUCGCUAGUAAUCGCAGAUCAGCAACGCUGCGGUGAAUACGUUCCCGGGCCUUGUACACACCGCCCRWCAAGUCACGAAAGUUGGUAACACCCGAAGCCGGUGGCCUAACCCUUKUGGGGGGAGCCKUSGAARRGKGRAAA